CGGGUGAGUAACGCGUGGAUAACCUGCCUUACACUGGGGGAUAACACUUAGAAAUAGGUGCUAAUACCGCAUAAGCGCACAGAGCCGCAUGGCUCAGUGUGAAAAACUCCGGUGGUGUAAGAUGGAUCCGCGUCUGAUUAGCUGGUUGGCGGGGGUAGAAGCCCACCAAGGCGACGAUCAGUAGCCGGCCUGAGAGGGUGAACGGCCACAUUGGGACUGAGACACGGCCCAAACCCCCCUCCUACGGGAGGCAGCAG
rnacentral:rRNA from 1 species